rnacentral:lncRNA from 1 species
UUGUUUAGGAGUAUAUGCUUAUUUAAUGAACAAAUUUAAUAUAUUAGUAAAUUCGAAUUUGAAUUGUGAUGGUUUACAUAUGAUAGUGGAAGUAUUGUUAAAAGGAAAAUUAGGUAAAUAUUUUUUAAAAAAAAAAAAUAAAAUAGUUUUAAAUUUUUUGGCACCUCCGACAAAUACAAAUGCCGUAUUCGAUUUAGUCGACUUGGAAAUAUACGAUCCAAAUAAUAAUUUAAAGCUAAUUAAAAAACUGAAAUUGCAGGUAAAUAUCGAUGAAAAUAAUUACAAUUUGUUGCAUUCACAUAAAAAUAAGUUAUAUGCAAAUAAAUAUUUUUCUAUUAUGUACAUACUUUUUUUUAAAAUUGCAUAUUUAAUUAAUGAUUACAAGUUUGACAUGUUUGUUUAUGAUGUUACGGGUGGUAUUCAAAUAAUUGACAGUGAAGUGUUAUUUUAUAAAACUACGGAGGCAUUUUCUAAUGAUAUACCAGCAAUACUGCAAGUGUUAACAGAGUAUAAUUUUGACAUAUACGAACAUACAGUAUCAUCAGUUGAUUUAAUAAACGAAAUAGCUCUUUUAUCGGCAUAUUUUGUAGAGUUGACAUCUUCUUAUAAACAUAUAGGUAAGGCAUAUGUGGAGGAAACAGAAAAUGAUGAAAUUACACGUAUAUACUCAUCACCUUUGGCUGACAUUAGAUAUUUUGUUUAUAUAAACGCGGAUGAUUAUAAUAAGGAUGACAAAAUUAUUGAAAAGUUACAGAAAGAAUUAACGAAUCUAAACACUCUUGUGAUAAUUAAAAAAAAUUUAUGUUGUUCUAAUUUUGUAGACGUUUUGUCAAAAUCGUUAGAAUAUUAUAUCGCAUAUAAAUAUUUAUCUCAAAUAAACAAUACUACUGAAACAGAGCAUAGUACUCUAAACACAUCAGGUUUAGAAACUACAACACCUAUAAAUCAUCAACCAGAUAUAGCCACUGCAAAAAAUAUAAUAGACAUAUGGCUAUAUCAUGCACAUUCGGAUAUACACAUAAAUCCUAUUCAAGAUACAAACAAGUCAAUAUAUUGGGCUAAACAAAUUAUGAAUAACGCACAAUAUUAUUACAAAGAGGAGAUAACUGCUGAGGAUAAACCAGCAUGUAUUAACUUAGAUAUGAUCGAUCAUUAUGAUAAUGUGGUAAUAAGUUUUGCAACAAAAAUGGACACACAUGGUGCUGCUGUUUAUAUUAAACUGGAU